rnacentral:rRNA from 1 species
GACGAACGCUGGCGGCGUGCUUAACACAUGCAGGUCGAACGAUGAAGCCGGAGCUUGCUCUGGUGAAUUAGUGGCGAACGGGUGAGUAACACGUGAGUAACCUGCCCUUGACUCUGGGAUAACUGCGGGAAACUGUAGCUAAUACCGGAUACGACCCUCGGAGGCAUCUCCUGGGGGUGGAAAGAAUUUCGGUCAAGGAUGGACUCGCGGCCUAUCAGCUAGUUGGUGAGGUAAAGGCUCACCAAGGCGACGACGGGUAGCCGGCCUGAGAGGGUGACCGGCCACACUGGGACUGAGACACGGCCCAGCCUCCUACGGGAGGCAGCAGUGGGGAAUAUUGCACAAUGGGCGCAAGCCUGAUGCAGCAACGCCGCGUGAGGGAUGACGGCCUUCGGGUUGUAAACCUCUUUUAGCAGGGAAGAAGCGAAAGUGACGGUACCUGCAGAAAAAGCACCGGCUAACUACGUGCCAGCCGCCGCGGUAA